rnacentral:rRNA from 1 species
GACGGAGGGGGCUAGCGUUGUUCGGAAUUACUGGGCGUAAAGGGCUCGUAGGCGGCCAACUAAGUCGGACGUGAAAUCCCUCAGCUUAACUGGGGAACUGCGUCCGAUACUGGAUGGCUUGGAUUUGGGAGAGGGAUGCGGAAUUCCAGGUGUAGCGGUGAAAUGCGUAGAUAUCUGGAGGAACACCGGUGGCGAAGGCGGCAUCCUGGACCAAUAUUGACGCUGAGGAGCGAAAGCCAGGGGAGCAAACGGG